AUUGAACGCUGGCGGCAGGCUUAACACAUGCAAGUCGAGCGCGAAAGGCUUUCGGGCUGAGUAGAGCGGCGGACGGGUGAGUAACGCGUAGGAAUCUACCUGGUAGUGGGGGACAACUUGGGGAAACUCAAGCUAAUACCGCAUACGCCCUAUGGGGGAAAGUGGGGGACCUUUGGGCCUCACGCUAUCGGAUGAGCCUGCGUAGGAUUAGCUUGUUGGUGAGGUAAUGGCUCACCAAGGCGACGACGGGUAGCCGGCCUGAGAGGGUGAACGGCCACACUGGGACUGAGACACGGCCCAGACUCCUACGGGAGGCAGCAGUGGGGAAUAUUGCGCAAUGGACGAAAGUCUGACGCAGCGACGCCUCGUGAGGGACGAAGGUCUUCGGAUUGUAAACCUCUUUCAGCAGGGACGAAGCGAAAGUGACGGUAC
rnacentral:rRNA from 1 species